CUUUUCUUUUAUUAAAGUUAUUGACUUUGAUAUUUACGGAGACAAAAACUGUAAAAACAGAGUUUGAAAUUUCAUUAGAGAGAGAGAGAGAGAGAGAGAGAGAGUGAGAUUGAAAAGGAAAUGGAGGGGGCAGCAGCAGGAGCACAGUACAACCCACGCACAGUGGAAGAGGUUUUUAAGGAUUUCAAGGGCCGCAGAGGUGGUUUGAUUAAGGCGCUUACUACUGAUGUUGAAGAGUUCUAUCGGCAAUGUGAUCCAGAGAAGGAGAAUCUGUGCUUGUAUGGCUUUCCCAGUGAGCAAUGGGAAGUCAGUUUACCUGCUGAAGAAGUGCCUCCAGAGCUUCCUGAGCCUGCACUUGGUAUUAACUUUGCAAGAGAUGGCAUGCAGGAUAAGGACUGGUUAUCCUUAGUCGCUGUCCAUAGUGAUGCAUGGCUGCUUUCUGUGGCCUUCUAUUUUGGUGCCAGAUUUGGAUUUGAUAAAGCUGACAGGAAGCGACUUUUUAAUAUGAUAAAUGAUGUUCCGACUAUAUAUGAAGUUGUGACUGGUGCUGAGAAGAAACAAGUGAAGGAGAAGUCGUCUGUUACCAAUCACAAUAGCAACAAAUCCAAAUCAAACCCCAAAGUGCAGCGAGAAUCUCAGGGAAAGUUCUCAAAAUCAUCAGAGCCAAAGGAUGAAGAUGAGGGCUUGGACGAAGAAGAUGACGAGCAUGGGGAGACAUUAUGCGGUGCAUGUGGUGAGAAUUAUGCAUCUGAUGAAUUCUGGAUUUGUUGCGACAUCUGUGAGAAGUGGUUCCAUGGAAAGUGUGUGAAGAUCACCCCUGCUAGAGCUGAGCAUAUUAAGCAGUACAAGUGCCCCUCCUGCAGUAACAAGAGGGCUCGCCCCUGAUAUAUGGGUGAGGGCUGUGGUUCUUUGGCAUCGUAUUCUCUUUUAGGUGGACUCUGUUAAUUAGUUUAGUAAUCAGUUUCUUUCUUGGAUCUUUUAUUAGUGCAGUGUGUUAGUGGGUGGUGCAACGUGUUAAUGAGUACUUUUAUCUGGUUGACCUCAGUUUCCAAUGUGUAGUUGUAGUUCGUGUAGGUUCUACCCUUCUUUGGUUGGAAACAUCUUGAUUCUCUCGUCCGAUUUGCUAGGAAAAUCUCUUUUUAAUACUUAUUCAUGACAUGUGUAUGAUCUGCAUUUACUGGUCUAUAUAACUUUCAUCAUAGAUCUCGUGCAUUGUUGAAAACUG
rnacentral:misc_RNA from 1 species